rnacentral:lncRNA from 1 species
UGCUCUAACCUUUAACUUCUCAGCUUUUGGAUGAGAAGAAUGACCUUCCUGAAGUCUAACUAAACUGUUUCUAUUUCUUUUUGUACUUUAAAGCUUUAGUGCAUUGAUUAGUCUUGAAAGAAAAAAAAAUAAAAGUCACCUUGUUGUCUCCUACCCAGUAUCUUGUACUCUUUGGGAGUCUGGAAAUGAAUUGGAUAUCAUCUCAGACACUGAAGGGGGAAAAAUACCAACGUUCGUUCUGGACCUAGUCUUUCCUUUCUGUCAUCCUUUUCAGAAAUAAUUAAUAUGAAGAAUUCAGAGAAGCAUGGAAAGACAUUAGCUGAAAUAACCUGAAGAAAGCAGAACCAAGAGAACAAUAUACACAGUGAUAAUAAUAAGGUAGACAGGAAAAAAUACUAAACAAAAUGGAAUAGUAUAGAAUUAUAAUGGCCAAG